rnacentral:tRNA from 1 species
GGAAACAUAGUACAACGGUAGAACGGUCGCCUGUUAAGCGACAAAUGAAUGUUCGACUCAUUCUGUUUCCG